rnacentral:tRNA from 1 species
GAGUCGCUAGCUAAAUUGGAUACAGCAUCAGACUUUUAAUCUGACGAUUUCCCGGUUCGAGUCCGGGGCGACUCACCA